AGAUAGAUCCAGGAUUCGUAUAGCUGCUGCUGCUGGCCUCUUUAGUAUACCUGUUAUUACACUGCUGGUAGCUUAUAUAAGACAGAAGCGAUCCUGAUGGUCACGAUGAGAAGCAUCUUCACUGGAUGUCAUGGAACAAAGUGCUGCUUGAUGAUUGAAAAUCUUAUUUAUGUUUACAUGUAAUGUAUGUCGUUAAAGGAAAGUCAGUUUGGCCUCUCCUGAAGUAAUGUUACCAGCACAUCACACUACACUGGCCAUCAGAGUUGUGAAGGAUGUCAAUACCCACAUUUGAAGGAAUGCAGUCACCUAAGAAAGAACUGCCUGCACUGCCCUUUCUUUUAUAUCUCUUCUGUGUUACCAGACCAGUCCAGCUUAUUGAUGUAGACCCCCAAGUACUUGCAGGAGUGGACCACCUCCACAUCCACUCCUUAAAUAGUGACUGGAUGUAAGAACUUUGCAGGUGGCAGUCAAUUUUGAUCAAUAUCACUGAGCUGCACAAAAAUCCUCCCAUGCAGAAAGAAAUUGGUGUCCUUAUAGAUUUGGGUGUGCUGAAUCCAUUUCUGAAAUUGGAAUUUCUUUACCACAAACAAUUUCUGUGAGAUAUCAGAUUCAAUAAAAAAACAGAGUUUAAAAAAAAACAAAAAAAAAAACACAAGUUUUAUUUUAUGGCAUAAGUAUUUUUUUCCAUGCUGCAAGUGAAAGACAGAACCACAAUAAAGAGUUGGGGUACCAGCCCGGUUACCCCUUAUAAGUGAAUGAUUUGAAAAACGCAAUUGAAGAGAUGUCUUCAUAAUUGCAAGUUCAUAAGUGAACUGUCUCAAGAGCUUCUGGCAGGUCCAUCUGGAAGUGGCCUCAGUGAUGUAACAGCUGUCAGUGUGAGGAAGAGAAAAGGCAUUAGGACACAGCGCCAACCCCUGGAGCGGCAGGAAAUUACAACCACUAGAGCCCUUAAGCUAGGGGUGCCCAACUCCGGUCCUGGAGGGCCGCAGUGGCUGCAGGUUUUCAUUGUAACCCUUUUCUUAAUUAGUGAUCUGUUUUUGCUGCUAAUUAACUGAAUGUGAGAGAGCAAUUCUGUUGCCAGAUUUGGGUUCAGCACCCUUGGAUAUAAAGAGAACGCCUCAAAGUUUUGACAAGUUGCACGUUACUGUAUAACACUGGUCUGCAAAAAAUGCUAUUUUCUGUAUAUAUUGACUAAGCUAUACAUACUAAUAUAUAUAUAUUGUUACAUUGCUGCUUUUUUAUCUAAAUAAAUAAAAUUGUAAAUAUGGUUUGCUUUUUUGCCAAUUGUAAAAAUAAAAAAAUUCAACUUA